UACGCAGGGUGCGAGCGUUAAUCGGAAUUACUGGGCGUAAAGCGCGCGUAGGUGGUUCAGUAAGUUGGAAGUGAAAUCCCCGGGCUCAACCUGGGAACUGCUUUCAAAACUGCUGAGCUAGAGUACGGUAGAGGGUGGUGGAAUUUCCUGUGUAGCGGUGAAAUGCGUAGAUAUAGGAAGGAACACCAGUGGCGAAGGCGACCACCUGGACUGAUACUGACACUGAGGUGCGAAAGCGUGGGGAGCAAACAGG
rnacentral:rRNA from 1 species